CGUCUACGGGGGGCAGCAGUAGGGAAUCUUCCACAAUGGACGAAAGUCUGAUGGAGCAACGCCGCGUGAGUGAAGAAGGGUUUGGGCUCGUAAAACUUUGUUGGUAAUGGAGAAAGAUAGAGGUAGUAACUGGCCUUUAUUUGACGGUAAUUACUUAGAAAAUCACGGCUAACUACGUGCCAGCAGCCGCGGUAAUACGUAGGUGGCAAGCGUUGUCCGGAUUUAUUGGGCGUAAAGCGAGU
rnacentral:rRNA from 1 species